rnacentral:tRNA from 7 species
CCGGGAUAGCUCAGCUGGUAGAGCAGAGGACUGAAAAUCCUCGUGUCA